CGCGCGUGGCCUAACGGUUAUCGCGUUUGCCUUCCACGCAAAAGGCCACGGUUCGAUUCCUGGCCGCGG
rnacentral:tRNA from 1 species